UACGUAGGGCGCAAGCGUUAUCCGGAAUUAUUGGGCGUAAAGAGCUCGUAGGCGGUUUGUCGCGUCUGCCGUGAAAGUCCGGGGCUCAACUCCGGAUCUGCGGUGGGUACGGGCAGACUAGAGUGAUGUAGGGGAGACUGGAAUUCCUGGUGUAGCGGUGAAAUGCGCAGAUAUCAGGAGGAACACCGGUGGCGAAGGCGGGUCUCUGGGCCUGUACUGACGCUGGAGGAGCGAAAGCGUGGGGAGCGAACAGG
rnacentral:rRNA from 1 species